UUUUGAAGAAAUUGAGAAAGGUGGUGAGUCAUGGAAAAGCAAAGAAAAAGAACUAUUCCACCCUCAGAAGCUACCCAAGAAAAAGAAGCAUAGAGAAAAACCUCAAUCACAAAUGUUGGAAGUUGGGAAGAGAGUGUUUUUCUCAAACUUUCUAGUGAAAUCAAGUUGUGAUGGCGGGUUCUUAGUGAGCAAGGUGUUUCCCAAUGGUGUGGUGGAAUUAUAUGAUGAGCAUUUGGAUAGAGCAUUUAAGGUGACAAGGACAGGGUAAAGUUUGGGGGAAGCGAGGUUGAGCAAUACCAAACCUCGGUUUCCUUGAAAGAUCCUUAGAAAAAAAAAGUGAAGUUUGGGUUGCUAUGGUUCUUGGAGGAUUUAUUUGUAAAGCAACUCAAAGAAAGAAUAAAAAUUCAUAAUAAUACAAAAAAAAAUGAAUGAUGAAAAAAUAUGUUUAAAAAAAAUAGAAAAAAAGAUCAAUUUCAAAAGAAAAAAAAUGAAAAAAAAAAUAUUAGUGUUUUUAGUUUUUUUCAUUUUAAUUUUUGUUAUGUUAAUUUCAUUUUAUUGUAAUAUUUUUUGGAGUGGUUUUAUGUUUUUUGUUUUUUUGUUUUAGGUGUUAAAGGAUAAGCAAAUGGUGUUUUGAGAGUAAUUUGGAGGUCUGAUAGUUUUGUGGAAAUUUAUCUGGAGAAAUUUUUUUGGAUUUGGGACAAGAGCUAGUCAGAACACUCUGCGAUGCAUCACAGAAUUCAAGUGUGGACUCGCGAGUUUUUUCUGAAAAUAAAAAAAAAGUACAAAUAAUAAUGGUACAGAAAAAAAAAGGAACACCAAUUCCCUAGCCCGAUUCCUUCUUUCUCUCUCUACCAUGUUCAUCUUCUUCAUCCUUCACCACCGAGCCCCACCGCCUGCAAAACCAGCACCAAACCCAGCUCCGUGUUCGCCCCUGCCUAGCAACCCAAACCUGUUCGCAAAUCCAGACCAGCACAAAAAUCUCCUGAGCCCCCUGCAUCUCUUUCCGACAACCCAGGCGCAAAGCUUCUCCUCCCACGAAACUUCAUCUCCGACCACCACAACUCCAAGUCACCUGCCCUGAUCCCGCAGACCACACCUCGCGAGAUCUCUGAUCCCGUUGCGCCACCCAGGCCUAGCGCACCCCAGGCGACUGCCUGCGCAUCCCAUCGCACCCAGAAAAAAUAAUCGACCCUAAAUCCAGCAUCAUGAGCCCUUGGUUGUGUGACCAAACAACUCGAGACCCUGUGACCCCAGGCGAAAUUCCGACUGCCACCGUCGGCCCAAGGAGCACCCAGCUCCGUUUGUGAAUCCUCACAACUUGAGAGCUCGACCCACCUCCAUUUUUCACCUCGAGACCCCAUCUGAGCCCUCACCUGAGCAUUCAAUAGUCUCUUAGUUCACAGGCUAUUCUGUAUUUUAGAUGACCAAGUCAGAAUGUGGCUUCCAUUAGAUUCAAAGGGGCCUUAUUUUCUCUAUCACUGAUUAUAGAUUGUGUGUUCAUCAUUGGUUUUGCUAAUUGAUAAGCAGGAGGACAUAUUGCGUGGUUGCCCAAGUCUGUAAUGUUGAUGGUGAUCUGUGAUUUGUGAGCCCCGCAACCACUUUUGUCCAAAUUUUGACCCCAAACGGCAACUGCUAGAACUAAAGUUCCCAAGUGAAAGGCACCCAACUCCUCAACUCCACAACCAACCAAACAGAAGGCCUUUGAUCUAAAUCGUCCCUAUCUUUUUGGAUGACAAUCCCAAAGGAUAGGCAGGGGAGUGUUCACAUCUCAACUCAUUUUUAUUUCUUUAAUUUGUUGUUUUUAUUGUUCUGUGGCUGUAAUCUUGUUGUUUUAGUGUUUUGUUCAUGUAUUGGUCUUGUUUUUAGUUGUCUUUGCAUUGUUGUGUUGUCGUUCUUUUGAGGAUUUUAUUUGUCUUUGUUAGUGUUCACUAGGGGGCUCGAUGACGAUCUUGAAAAACUACAAAAAUAUAAUAAAUCUAAGUUGAAGCUGAAUGUCUUUCUUACUUAAGUUUCAAACUAAAAUUAUUUGGGUGUGAAUGUUGCUAACAAUUGAUUGAUGAGAGUGUUUUCUUUUUAGUGUGUGCAUAGAUUGAUUAAACAUUUUUGAGACCCUAGAAAGAACUAGUUUCUAGAAUUACUUAGUGGCUUUCCUUGAGGCAAAAUCCUAGACAUCAUUACACCAAAGACAUGAUUUAAGCCAUCUUUGGACUGUUUGAGUAUGUUAAGCCUACCCUUUAUGCAUUUUUAUCCCUAGUUACCCCCGUUGAGCUUAAUAGUCACUUUUCUUUCUUAGCCAGUUUAAAAAAAAUUAUUAUGUUUGCAAAUAAGUUUGGGGUGUAACUCUUCAAAUAAAAGAAAAGUUUGUUUUAGUUUUUGUCUUGGUAUGUUAGUAAUAAAGGCUAGUGGCAAGAGUUAUAUUUUGUUGUGGGGUGUUCUUUGGGGAAAUUAAUGUGUGCAUUGAUUUAGGUCCUAGAAAGAUUGAGGUGCUUAGGGUGAUUUGAGCCAAAAUUAAUCUCUCUUAUUUUACUUUCACUCUAGCCUAUUAUUACAAGCUUGAUAAAAUCCUACUGAUCUUUGGUGUGUUGUUUGUCUACAUUAGUGGAAAGGGAAGCACUAAGUAACUUAUGGAGGCAUUAUUUAAGCUUUAGGACCAAGGUCGAGUUUGAUUUGGGUGAUCGAAAAUGCUUAGGAAAAGUUAUGCAUAUACUAAAGAGUGAAACACUUUACUCAUAUUUUGACAGCAAUAUUAAUGCUUGAAGAGUUUGGUUUAAAGCUUGUAUAAGUUUGAAAUUCAGUUUCUCUUAUUCAAAAUAAAAUUUCCUAGAGCUUUCCCCUUUUAGCAUUGGCAAAGCAAAGUUAUCCUCUUUUGUUGUGUCUUGUCCUUGUUGUUUUCCUUUUCUUUUUGUUGUUUAAUUUGUGUCUUUUGUUAUCUUUUUAGAUUCAUCACUCGAGGACGAGUAAUGUCUUAAGUUUGGGGGUGUGAUAACUCUUCAAUAAAGAAUUAUUUUUUAUACUUUUGAGCUUAUAAUUUUAGAAUUAGGUUGAGUGAUGUUUGUGUAUUUUGUUAUUUUUAGUUAAUUCUUUUCCUUUUGUGUUAUUGUGUCAUUUUUGGUGUUUUAGAGCUGAAGGUAGCAAUUAAGGAAUUUAGGUAUGAGAUUGUCCAAAGAAAAUAAUGAAAAGUGAAAAGGUUCUUAUUUGUUUAUUGUGUGUUGAAAUAUUAGGUUUGCUAGAGCAGAAGAAGUUUUGUUGGAGCAUUUUCAAUAGGAAUCAAAGAAGAAAAGUCGUCAUAUAAGAGAAAGACAAGUGACAAUUCAUUAAAUGAUUUGUUUAAGGGUGGUGAGGUGGCAACAAAUCAGAAUAUUAGCUGCAUUUUAGAAGGAAGAUUCUAGAGAAAAAGGAGGAGGCUCACAUAUAGUGCUUGGUGGGAAUUUUUGGCAAGAGAGAAAAGAGGGUUUUGUACCCUAGCUAAAAAAUGGAGAAAAUGACAACCUCCAUUACCCAAUUCAGCCAUUAUUCUAGAGAGAGAACCACCAAGUAUAAGACUUUUCUGCAGUACAAAAAAGGAAAUAGAAGAAGGAAGAAGAGGAAAGAAGAGAAGCUUGCUUCCGUCAUCAUCUUUUGGGCUAUUUCUUCUCUCUUGUCAUUUCUUUCCUAUUUCCCCUUUUGUAUUUGGUGUUUAAACUCUCUUGGAUAGAUUUAAUUUUGUAUCUGUUUUUAUUGUUUUAGAUAUGAACUAGAUCCUUUGACGCCUGGAUUAUUAAUGAACUCUAUAUCUUAAUUUUAAA